rnacentral:rRNA from 1 species
AUUGAACGCUGGCGGCAUGCCUUACACAUGCAAGUCGAACGGCAGCACGGGAGCAAUCCUGGUGGCGAGUGGCGAACGGGUGAGUAAAGUAUCGGAACGUGCCCAGUCGUGGGGGAUAACGUAGCGAAAGUUACGCUAAUACCGCAUACGAUCUAUGGAUGAAAGCGGGGGAUCGCAAGACCUCGCGCGAUUGGAGCGGCCGAUAUCAGAUUAGGUAGUUGGUGGGGUAAAGGCUCACCAAGCCGACGAUGUGUAGCUGGUCUGAGAGGACGACCAGCCACACUGGGACUGGGACACGGGCCAGACUCCUACGGGCGGCAGCAGUGGGGAAUUUUGGACAAUGGGCGAAAGCCUGAUCCAGCCAUGCCGCGUGCAGGAUGAAGGCCUUCGGGUUGUAAACUGCUUUUGUACGGAACGAAAAGGUUUGGCCUAAUAAGCUGAGCUCAUGACGGUACCGUAAGAAUAAGCACCGGCUAACUACGUGCCAGCCGCCGCAGUAA